rnacentral:precursor_RNA from 10 species
CACGUGCGUUGUCUGUUGGCCAUCACCGGCCAGUGAUUCAAGUCCUAUCUGCUGCUUCAUCGGCAAUAGGUCUUUAAUCAUUGAGCGGUUUUCGGCCAAGUUCUUCCGAAAUGCA